rnacentral:rRNA from 1 species
UACGAAGGGUGCGAGCGUUGUUCGGAAUGAUUGGGCGUAAAGGGUUCGUAGGCGGGAGUGCAAGUCAAGUGUGAAAUUUCCGGGCUUAACUUGGAGAGUGCAUUUGAGACUGUGUUUCUUGAGAGUUGGAGAGGGUGGUGGAAUUGCUGGUGUAGGAGUGACAUCCGUAGAGAUCAGCGGGAACACCGGAGGCGAAGGCGACCACCUGGCCGACGACUGACGCUGAGGAACGAAAGCGUGGGGAGCAAACAGG